AGUGAACGCUGGCGGUAGGCCUAACACAUGCAAGUCGAACGGCAGCACAGUAAGAGCUUGCUCUUACGGGUGGCGAGUGGCGGACGGGUGAGGAAUACAUCGGAAUCUACUUUUUCGUGGGGGAUAACGUAGGGAAACUUACGCUAAUACCGCAUACGACCUACGGGUGAAAGCAGGGGAUCUUCGGACCUUGCGCGAUUGAAUGAGCCGAUGUCGGAUUAGCUAGUUGGCGGGGUAAAGGCCCACCAAGGCGACGAUCCGUAGCUGGUCUGAGAGGAUGAUCAGCCACACUGGAACUGAGACACGGUCCAGACUCCUACGGGAGGCAGCAGUGGGGAAUAUUGGACAAUGGGCGCAAGCCUGAUGCAGCCAUACCGCGUGGGUGAAGAAGGCCUUCGGGUUGUAAAGCCCUUUUGUUGGGAAAGAAAAGCGGCAGGUUAAAACCCCGCUGUUCUGACGGUACCCAAAGAAUAAGCACCGGCUAACUUCGUG
rnacentral:rRNA from 1 species